UGACCGGAUGCCGAUCUCGAAAACCUGUCCCAGUUCGGACUGGAGUCUGCAACCCGACUCCACGAAGUUGGAUUCGCUAGUAAUCGCGCAUCAGCCAUGGCGCGGUGAAUACGUUCCCGGGCCUUGUACACACCGCCCGUCAAGCCAUGGGAGCCGGGGGCGCCUGAAGUCCGGGACCGCGAGGACCGGCCUAGGGCGAAACUGGUGACUGGGGCUAAGUCGUAACAAGGUAGC
rnacentral:rRNA from 1 species